rnacentral:tRNA from 1 species
GGGCCUAUAGCUCAGUUGGCCAGAGCGCGCCCCUGAUAAGGGCGAGGUCAGUGGUUCAAGUCCACUUAGGCCCACCA